GCGGGGGGUGGGUGGGGGAGUGUGUGGGGUGGGUGAGGACGGUCCUCCGUCUCCGUCCCUCGUGUCUCUGGCAGGAAUCUGGGAACAAACGGGGAGCUUCACGGCGGCGGCACUUCAGAGGGGGCGGAGCGAGGGCGGGGUCAGACUCACUUCUAAGGCUUCGUAUGGCAUGUCCCGCUAAAAGCUACCAGCUCCAACCAGAGACCACCUGCUUAAAACCUGGUGUCUGGCUGGGGACUCUGUAAUCCACACUGAACCGGUCCUGACCUCCCGUCCUCCGCCGAGCCCCUCGUCUACUCUGACCCCUGUUGGACUCUAGAAGGCACUGGUUUGGACUUGUUUCUCCACAUUCUAACAGCUAAGAAGAGCAAUCGAGGCAAUGAGGAACACAAACACUCGGACCAGCCGAGGGGGGAGGGGGUCCAGCUGGCUCCCACCGAUGCUACCGGUUUUGCUUCACGCGCCUGGUGGUGUCACAGCGGUUUGAACAGUCUGCUAACGGCAGAGGCAUUUGAAGAUGUAAACRUUGACAAGGCUAACAUCAGAAUAGGCGAAGACGGAAUAAAAAAAACAAAAAAAGAAGAAGAAAAGUCGGUGCUGAAACGACGGGUCAGCUGUUCGGUUCUUUUCUCACAGCUGGAAUGUGAACUGGAAAGUCUGGAGCUUCAUCCCCAGCUGGUUAUUUACACAGUGAACAGAACUAAGCUCUACUCUACACAACACGUGUGGCUGGUUCUGGAAAAGACAGGAGGAGGGAGUUUGGACGUGUGCGGCUGCUACUUGAAAAUGUAGUUGAUGAGGACCUGCAGGGCGAUGAGGAAAACGAUGAUGACGAAGUCGCGCUGCUGGAGGAAGGAGCCGCUYUCCGUUCGGCCGACGGCACGACUCCGCAGCACGACGAUGCUCCUGGAACACACACACAGAGGAAAAUACACCUGGACCAGUCCUGUGUCUCUUUC